CCUACGGGGGGCAGCAGCAAGGAAUCUUCCACAAUGGGCGAAAGCCUGAUGGAGCAACGUCGCGUGCAGGAUGAAGGUUUUCGGAUUGUAAACUGCUUUUAUGUGCGAAGCGGUAACACAUGAAUAAGGAUCGGCUAACUCCGUGCCAGCAGCCGCGGUCAUACGGAGGAUCCAAGCGUUAUCCGGAUUUACUGGGCGUAAAGAGUGCGUAGGUGGUAAUUUAAGUGAAUAGUGAAAUCUGGUGGCUCAACCAUCAACACAUUAUUCAAACUGUAUUACUCGAGAAUGAGAGAGGUCACUGGAAUUCCCUGUGUAGGAGUGAAAUCCGUAGAUAUAGGGAGGAACACCAAUGGCGUAGGCAGGUGACUGGCUAUUCUGACACUGAGGCACGAAAGCGUGGGGAGCGAACGGGAUUAGAUACCCUUGUAGUC
rnacentral:rRNA from 1 species